rnacentral:tRNA from 1 species
UAGCUCGGUUGGUAGAGCAUGGUGUUUGCAACACCAGGGUUGUGGGUUCGAUUCCCAC